AUGAACAUUGUAGCAAGGCCCUGUUUUUCACUGACAAUUACUGGAAACUGCCGCGAUCAUCGGGUCAUGUUCUGUUCGUUGGGCCUCAUUUUAAUCAUCUGCGCUGUGCGGCCAGUAGUCGUCUCUGAUACUUCAUUUGAGAAAGACUUGAACCCCACGAGAAACCCAGCCAGUUCGAUUUCCGGAAGCUUGAAACCCGCGAAAAAACCAACCGAUUCAAUCGACGGAGACCUGAACUUGAAAAAGAAAAAGGAGAAGCCACCACCACCUAGUUGGGUUGGAACGCCAGCUGAAAUUAGUUGUAAAGAAAGAUGUGGCAUUAUACUUGUGUCCCUACGCGAAAGCAUCUCCAUCUGCAUUCCUUGGAUUCUCGACAAAGAAAAAAAUGAAUUUCGAUGUGAAUUGAACGAGGCUAAAUUGAAACCCUUCUUAGAAAAAAACAACCUCCCGGUUUGGGAAUUUACGCAAAAAAUGGGCCAACCCGAUAAAGACGGCAACUACAGCCCCGCAGGGCGGGAGUGGUUGCAGGAGAAAGGUUGGAAAGUGGUCAACCCACCGUACACCGCCGCGCAAAUAGAGAGGGCCGCGAGAAAAGACUUGAAACCACUCGACAAGCAACUAAAGGAAUUAAAAAAGGCCAGGGAGAAGGAAAACCGACAACAAUGUACAGGGGAUGCUUGCCCGUUGCCUCCUGCGGGUAAAAAAUCGAGACUUCCUUGGAAAUCGUCAGACGUAAGCAUGUCCAGCUCCUCGAGUGGGUCCAGUGGGUCCAAAGGGUGGUUCAGCAGCCGCCGCCAUGGAUCUUCCAGCACUUUGACCAGCAGCGGUGCGUCCAUGAACACAGCAGGCAACUCGAAGAAAACCGAAUCCACCGGCGGGUCGUCUGGAGGAUGGUUCAGCCGACGGAGACCAUCCGCAAAGGAAGAUUUAUCCAAAAUUGAACCGGGCGCCUCUCGCGCCUCAAUGACUUCAAUUAAGGAAGGCGAGUCAGAUUCAGAUUCUUGGUCAACCACUUCAUCCGAGCCCCCGGAAACUCAACCCCGGAGAAACUGA
rnacentral:lncRNA from 1 species